rnacentral:rRNA from 1 species
GAUGAACGCUGGCGGCGUGCCUAAUACAUGCAAGUCGAGCGAACGGACGAGAAGCUUGCUUCUCUGAUGUUAGCGGCGGACGGGUGAGUAACACGUGGAUAACCUACCUAUAAGACUGGGAUAACUUCGGGAAACCGGAGCUAAUACCGGAUAAUAUUUUGAACCGCAUGGUUCAAAAGUGAAAGACGGUCUUGCUGUCACUUAUAGAUGGAUCCGCGCUGCAUUAGCUAGUUGGUAAGGUAACGGCUUACCAAGGCAACGAUGCAUAGCCGACCUGAGAGGGUGAUCGGCCACACUGGAACUGGGACACGGUCCAGACUCCUACGGGAGGCAGCAGUGGGGAAUCUUCCGAAAGGGGCGAAAGCCUGACGGAGCAACGCCGCGUGAGUGAUGAAGGUCUUCGGAUCGUAAAACUCUGUUAUUAGGGAAAAACAUAUGUGUAAGUAACUGUGCACAUCUUGACGGUACCUAAUCAGAAAGCCACGGCUAACUACGUG